rnacentral:siRNA from 1 species
CGACCACUUGUUCUUCACAUGC